rnacentral:rRNA from 1 species
CACGUAGUUAGCCGGAGCUUCCUCCUCUGCUACCGUCAUUAUCUUCACAGAGGACAGAGGUUUACAAUCCGAAAACCGUCUUCUCUCACGCGGCGUUGCUGGUUCAGGGUUUCCCCCAUUGACCAAUAUCCCUCACUGCUGCCUCCCGUAGGAGUCUGGGCCGUGUCUCAGUCCCAAUGUGGCCGUUCAACCUCUCAGUCCGGCUACCGAUCGUCGGCUUGGUGGGCCGUUGCCCCGCCAACUACCUAAUCGGACGCGAGCCCAUCUUUCAGCGGAUUGCUCCUUUGAUUAUCAAGCCAUGCAGCUCAAUAAUAUCAUGCGGUAUUAGCGUUCGUUUCCAAACGUUAUCCCCCUCUGAAAGGCAGGUUGCUCACGCGUUACUCACCCGUCCGCCACUAAGAUAUCCAAGAAUCAUUACCGAAGUACUUCAUCAGCGGAUAUCUCCGUUCGACUUGCAUGUGUUAGGCACGCCGCCAGCGUGUCCUGAG